rnacentral:misc_RNA from 1 species
GAUGAAGAACGUAGCGAAAUGCGAUACGUAAUGUGAAUUGCAGAAUUCAGUGAAUCAUCGACUCUUUGAACGCACAUUGCGCCCCCUGGUAUUCCGGGGGGCAUGCCUGUCCGAGCGUCAUUGCUGCCCUCAAGCACGGCUUGUGUGUUGGGCCUCCGUCCUCCUCCCGGGGGACGGGCCCGAAAGGCAGCGGCGGCACCGCGUCCGGUCCUCGAGCGUAUGGGGCUUCGUCACCCGCUCUUGUAGGCCCGGCCGGCGCUUGCCGACACAUCAAUCUUUUUUCCAGGUUGACCUCGGAUCAGGUAGGGAUACCCGCUGAACUUAAGCAUAUCAAUAAGCGGAGGA